rnacentral:rRNA from 1 species
CCUACGGUAGGCAGCAGUGGGGAAUUUUGGACAAUGGACGCAAGUCUGAUCCAGCCAUUCCGCGUGCAGGACGAAGGCCUUCGGGUUGUAAACUGCUUUUGUACGGAACGAAAAAGCUCUUAUAAAUACUAGGAGUCCAUGACGGUACCGUAAGAAUAAGCACCGGCUAACUACGUGCCAGCAGCCGCGGUAAUACGUAGGGUGCAAGCGUUAAUCGGAAUUACUGGGCGUAAAGCGUGCGCAGGCGGUUAUAUAAGACAGAUGUGAAAUCCCCGAGCUUAACUUGGGAACUGCAUUUGUGACUGUAUAGCUAGAGUACGGCAGAGGGGGAUGGAAUUCCGCGUGUAGCAGUGAAAUGCGUAGAUAUGCGGAGGAACACCGAUGGCGAAGGCAAUCCCCUGGGCCUGUACUGACGCUCAUGCACGAAAGCGUGGGGAGCAAACAGGAUUAGAUACCCUGGUAGUCCACGCCCUAAACGAUGUCAACUGGUUGUUGGGUCUUCACUGACUCAGUAACGAAGCUAACGCGUGAAGUUGACCGCCUGGGGAGUACGGCCGCAAGGUUGAAACGUCAAAUGAAAUUGACGG